GACAGAGGGUGCAAACGUUGUUCGGAAUUAUUGGGCGUAAAGGGCGUGUAGGCGGUUCGUUAAGUCUGGCGUGAAAGCUCUCGGCUAAACCGGGAGAGGUCGUUGGAUACUGGCAAACUAGAGGACGGUAGAGGCGUGUGGAAUUCCGGGUGUAGUGGUGAAAUGCGUAGAGAUCCGGAGGAACACCAGUGGCGAAGGCGACACGCUGGGCCGUACCUGACGCUAAAGCGCGACAGCAUGGGGAGCAAACGGG
rnacentral:rRNA from 1 species